GGAGAAAGUGCAGAUCCCCAAGUCCGGCAAGAUCUACUCCUUCAACGAGGGAAACUACGCUCUGUGGGACGACAAGCUCAAGAGUUACAUGGACAGCCUCAAAGACCCCGGCACCUCGGGCAAGCCCUACUCCGCGCGCUACAUCGGGAGCCUCGUCGGCGACUUCCACCGCACCAUGCUCUACGGCGGCAUCUACGGCUACCCCAGGGACCAGAAGAGCAAGAACGGCAAGCUGCGGCUGCUCUAUGAGUGCGCGCCCAUGAGCUUCAUCGCGGAGCAGGCCGGCGGCAAAGGCUCAGAUGGCCACCAGAGGGUACUUGAUAUCAUUCCCACAGAGGUAAUGCUAAUAAUGCUCUUGAAAUGUGGAUUCGGAAGCACUUUAAAUGUGUGAUUAAAUGGAGAUCGUGAUGUUGAUCAUUGUGUAUGCGCUCUGCAGGUCCAUCAGAGAGUGCCUCUCUAUGUCGGGAGCGUGGAGGAAGUGGAGAAGGUGGAGAAGUUCUUGGCUUGAGAAUUACAAGCUUGAUGAGAUGCUGGCUUGAGUUUCUUCCAAGAAGUUAUUGUAACCAAUAUAUGUUGUAGAAAAUUUCUUUUCUGGCGGGGAAAAGCCAUUUUGAAAAAUUCCAUUCUUCGGUUGUGAGGUGAAGGGCCUGUUAAUUUUCCGCCGUUUCAACCCAGUAGUAAAAAUGUCAGUACAAUGGUGUGGGCACUAAAUAGCCGGACCAUCGGAAAAAAUUCUUCAUUACCGGCUUUAAUAAAAUACCGGAGCCGAUCAAACAUAUCACAUACAGCCACGUGGCAUCGACUCACACAUGUAUUAAUUAAACUAGUGGAGUGUCCGUGCGUUGCUACGGAUCGACAAACUCAUCCAUCAAAACAUGAAUAAAAUAUUAUAAUUUUCACAAACGUAUAGACAACAAACACGUGAAUUGGAAAUGCAAACUGUGAAUAGGUAUGUAAACACUAAUAAAAAAUCAUUAUAGUUCACAAACGACUACAUGGCUCGUAUAGACAACAAACACGUGAAUUGGAAAUGCAAACUGUGAAUAGGUAUGUAAACACUAAUAAAAAAUCAUUAUAGUUCACAAACGACUACAUGGCUCGUGGCUUAUGACUGGUUGCAACAAUUAUCACGUUGCGCUUGCUUCCCAUAUACAGUAAUUUACCACACAUAAUGCAUGUGAAAUCAAGUACCGCACAUAAUCCAUGUAAAAUUUCAAGGGUAUACAAAAUAUCACAAUGAUAUUUCAAGACAUUAAAACUCCACCUUGACUUGAAAUGACUCGGCGACUACCUCCGAGCUUAAAAUCUACUGAUAGCCACAAACAGACCAAAGAGACCGCAACAGACCGACAAGAAAAAUACUUUUUGCAACAACACGUUGCAGUUUUCAGAAAACAAAAGCAGCUCAAAUAAACUGAAACCUCUUGGCCCGCCUUGAACUGUUCUAUCCUUCUCCACAUCCUCUAGAGUUGGAGACUUGGGAUCCAUGACGCCCAUCCCUUUUUUGCAGCCCCGAUGUUGAAGAAGUCUUGCGACCCCACCGAAGCAGCUCUCGUGCAUUUUAGAGAGAAUAAUCCCAACUGGUUCUGGUUCAUGAGGCCAUUCAUUUUGGAAAUGCCCCACAACAUAGCUGCAAUCCCUGUAGGCAACAUGUUUUUCUUCGCAACUCUUGCCAUCCUAUAUGUGAUUUUUAAUACCAACAGAUGAGAUUUUUUUUUAAUGAGAAUUAGAAUCGAAAUGCAUAUGUCGUAACACCUUUUGGAAAAUAAAUGUUGUUUUCUCUGGAGAAAAUUCACUAAUGUUUGUCCACAAGAAACAUUUUACAUAGCAUUAGUUUUUCUAUUUCUUUAAUGAUACAUUUUCUCAACCAACUAAACCAAAGAGAAAUAAAUAGUUCAAGACAGACUUUGUAAUUCUUACCUGCUCCAGCGGUGCUUUGUUGGUUUCCUGCAGCCCACUUAAUCUUUCUUUAAGAGAAGUCUGAAGAAAAGAAGCAACAUGUAAACAGAAACAGAGAAAGGAAAGGAGUGAUGAGUAAUCUAGAAACAGAAAAGGAAAGUAGUGAUCUGUAAUCUAACUAUCUAAGCAUUACCUCCUGAUGAGUUAGGACAACAUUGGCAUCCUCUACGUAGCUGACUUUGUCAUCCAAAACUUCCUACACGAAGAUCCAGUAUAAAGAUUAUAACAUGAACAGGUAAGAGAAAAAGGAGAAACACAUUAGUUUCACUCAUUCACUCCCAUCGCCGCUUCGUGCUGGCAGCCUACUAUCUCCUCGCCUUAUUAAUCUGAGACCACGAGGAUAAUAUUUCUGGAGACACAUAAAUGAAUCCAAGGCUCGAACCUGCAAGGAGGACAGUCAGCGAUUAGUGCAGAUGCAGUGCAAUGAAAAAAAAAAAACUUACAAAGAUGAACCUAAGAUUACAAAUUUACACUCACUGGAAAAAUUCCAGAGGAGAUCUUGACAUGAGAACAUAGUAAAUUUGCUGCUGAUGCGUCGGGGUGUACCUCGUCGACAAGGACUAUACGCAAAGAAAAGAAUAGAAAUCACCGGUAACCUCUGAAUGGAUCAGGAGAACUCCAACUCCGGAGGACCAGCCGCUUGCCCCGCUGAGGUAGUCGAGGGGGUCUGAGUCCACGCCCCACACGCGGAAUCGGGCCGGGCGGCGAUGCCCCUGCGGCGGGGAAAGGGUACAGACGCUCGUUAGCUCGAUGCAGAUCGGGAUGAGGGGGAGAGGGCGAGGCGGGUCGUCCCCGGCAGCGGGCGGCGAUGCACCUGCCGGCGUUCCAGAUCAGGAUGAGGAGGAGAGGGCGAGGCGGACAGCAGCUCGGGCCGGCGCCAUGGCCCCAGCGGUGGGCGGCAAUGCUGCUGCGGCGAUCCAAAUCGGGAUGAGGGGACAGCAGCUGCGCCAUAGCCCCAGCGGCGGGAGGCGAUGCCGCCGGAGCGCCCUAAUGGGAACCCUAGUGGGUGGUUGAUGGCCGGAGCACGCGAGGAUAGAGGGCGGCGGCGGCAGAGAUGGGGAACAGCGGCGGCAGCGUCGGAGGCGAGGAUAGAGGGCGGCGGCGGCAGAGAUGGGGAACAGCGGCGGCAGCGGCGGAGGCGAGGAAGGGCGGCGUCGGAGGCGAGGAGAAUCCUAUAGGGAGAGAGAUGCGAGCAAAGGGCAGGUAGGGGGAUCCGUUUUUUCCGGGGUUUUUUUUCUCGCGCGUGGGUUGGUUGGGGUGACGGACCAACGUACGUACCAAACUGCAAAUUAAAUAGUAGUAAAGAUAUCAAUGGUAUUAUAAUGUGAUAACAACGACCUCUGCCAGGGAUGCAGCUGUGAUGGCGUUCCCAGACUGAUCUAGCCCGAGGUUGUCACGGGCCAAGAGUGAAUUCGGCAGGUCCUUCUUCUUUGAAGGCAUCCUACUGUAAUUAUAUACAAUACUAAUAGCUAAUCAGCCAUACAUUGAUCGCUUUUUUUUUAGUAUGUGUGCCUAUGAAUAUACAGCCUAAUAGAAGUGUGACCCAACCAGUAAAGGGGUAACUAAUGUAAUGUCCUAAUAUCGGUGGGGUGACGAAGACCAUAAGAAGCACAUGCACUGGUUUGCGUGUUGGAUGAUGUGUAUACCAGAGAUGAUUUGUGGUAUAGGUUUUCGGGAUCUGGAGUUGUCGUGGCGGUGUCACGGCAGAUGCCAUGGGAUGGUUUAUCCUGGGUCUGAUGGACAAAGGAGGAUCCGGAGGAGUGAGGUUGUGAAGGGAAACACGCACGAAUACACAAGCACACACAGAUUUACCCAGGUUCGGAGCCCUCUUGACGAGGGAAGAUUUCUACUCCUGCUUUGUUGUAUUAACCGAGAUAACAAGUUCUACAAUGGCGCUCCUUGAGCUGUAUUCUUGAGAAAGAAGAAGAAGAAGGGGAAAACCCUAGAUGCCUAAGUCUUGGAUCCCUCUCCUGUGAGGGGUCGUGCUCUAUUUAUGGACCGCCCAUCUCACAUUGACAUGCGGGCCGGAGCCUAACAUUAUCUUCUUUGGGCCCUGCCGGGCAUGCGCUUUGGUUCCCUCCGGGUGCCACCGUAGGGGACAAGACAAUUUUACUUUUCCUGGCGCCCUGCAACAAGUACUGCUGCUAGCUGCCGGCUUCCGUCACAGAUUCUCUUUCGGUGCUUCUUUACGUAGUCGCCUGGCACCACGACGUAAGCAGCGACUGCUUUCCCGUGAUAAAGAGAACGGUACUUUACUUUGCGCCAUGAGAUAAGGAUAAGACUAUUGACCAAUCUCGGCGGGGCCCGAGAUCAGUGUACUCGUCCUCAUCCUGCAAACAUGUAAGACAAGAUAGAUGUGCCGGCAUACACCUGGUAUCCCGGCUUAGUAUUAGUUUGGUUUAAUGAUGCCGGCGUAUAUACCUAAGUCGGCCUUGCCUUCAUCAUCUCGGCUAAUGUGUGUCGUCAUGACUUUACCCGGGGUCAUCCCCCCGACACUAGUCCCUGAAGCUGUUGCGGUCUGGCAGGAGAGAACGUCGGGCCACGACAGUUUCCCAUACACAAAUCAUCGAAGCUCAUCAGGGCCCAGCCGAAAGGGAUGCUGAGACAACCCCGAGUUCUUCUUAGCCGAGAUCAAGUCAAUCCGACAUUCCGAGUCGGCGUGCUCACUCAGCUUUGAACUGAGAUUCCUUUCUCCUCCGUGGCCGGCAGUAGAGAAUUCGCUUCUGCCGACAUUGGUGCCACCUGUCGCUUAUACUCCAUGUUCUGCUUAAAUAACAGGAAGAUAAGACCCGAAGUGCUGCCGGCGCGUCUUUUAAGGCGGCGCGUCAUCCCAUCGGACGGUAAAACUGACAAGCCAUUAAGGGAGGAAUAUCAGUUCCCACACGGAUCCUUAUCCUCCCAAAUUCGACGGGAUUUACUGCGCCUCUCCGUGCAGUAACCGAGCGCGAGCGCGUUAAUGGGAUCGUGCGCAGCCCUUUCGUCGGCCACAGGGAUCGUGAGCACGGAGCGCUGUUGGUAUAAAUUGAGGGAGGGGGCGAGAGUGAAAACCCUUCGCGCUCCUUUGCUCCUUGCGCACUUCGCCAUUGCUGCUGCUCCAAGCUCUUCCACCGUCGCGCACCUUAGCUCGCAGUGCCCGAGCUCGCAACCGCAUACUCGCGCGCGCUCACUUAGCUCUCCGCCGCCGUUUCCUUGCCUGCUUGAGCCUUGCGCCACCGUCUUCUCGCCAUAGAUGCUAACCCUAGAUCUACUUUCCGAGCAAUGGCCUCUUCAUCCCGCGCCGCCGUUCGUCACCUGUUGCGAAGCCUAUCUCGGCCUCUGGCCUUCCACCGACUUGUGGGCCAAAUACUUCAUGUUUCGGCCCCAAGUUAUUCCCGACAAAGAUAAUCCCGACACCCCUAAGCCCAUGACUCAGUGCGGCGCCGCCACCGUGAUACCUAGCCGAGGUUCAGCCUUUCCUCGGAUUCAAGGUCUUGAGUCCUGUAAGAAGUGACUCGAGGCCUUCUUUUAUGUCAAGAACUCCUCUGAGGCCGACAAGAUCAACUUGCCGGGAUUCGCAGUUGGCCCCCCGGAGGAGAAGAAAAACUAGACGUAUGAUCCGAAGGAGACCAUCCCCGAGAUCAACGAAUUCCUUGCCGGCAUCCUCGAACUCAAGGAAAACGGGAUGGCGGCCGACGACUUGCUGGCCACCUUCGUAUACCGGUGACUUUGCCCGUACAAAGUCGGAAAAAGUCGGACGCACAAGAUGUGCUUCUACGAUGGACAGUUUGACCCGAACCGGGUGUCCACCGUCCGGCUUGACCAGGCGGAAGUUCGGCGCCGGGUUAAGGCAAUCGCAAAGACUAGUACCUGAGCUCUGGAAAUGGGGUUUACCGGCAUACAGUCGGAAGCACCGUUCUCCCCCGGUGAGUUCUUGUUUAUACACACUUUCUAUUUAUAUCCGACAUAUGGUUAUGCUGGCUUUUAUUUGACAAAGACUUAUCUCGGCACAAUCUGAUUUCUCUGUGUAGAAGUUCACCCUUCAACGCGACGAAGAUGGGAAGUCUCCGGAUAAACGCUUUGGGAGCCAACGCACGACCAUCGACCAUGAAGAUCCAGGCUCAGAGGAUCACAUGCCGAUCGCCCAUGCCGGCCCCCGUCGCAUCGAAGGUAACAAUCUCCGACAUCUUCUUAUAGUCAUUAGAACAUUUAUCACUAAGAUACUUACAUCUGCACUAAUCCGAAAACAGUCGACUCAGAUGAGCCCACUGCUGCUAAGGCGUCGGCUCCAGCUGCUGCUGAGGCGCCGGGCCCGGCCCGUGAGAAACGUGUCGCCGAGAAGGAUCUUCUGCGAAUUGUGAAGCGGAAGAAAACCGCCUGUCGUGGACCCAAGCCGAAGCCCAUGACCGUUGGGUAAGGCUUACAACGCUUCAAUCCUUGAUGUCGGUUUUCUUCUUUACUGUCAUGAAAAUAACCAACUUCUGCAGGGCGGCUCUGACGGCCACACAAUCUCAGACGUGCAUCGCGUCUGAGAUCCCGGCGGCUCCAUCUCCUCGUGCCGAGCCUACAACUCAAGCCACGGGUGGGACCGAGACUGCUGCGGACCCGACAUCUCUCGUCCGAAAUGUCGGCCCGAGCAUCGACGCUACGAGCGUCGCCCAAGCCGGGACCUCGGCAGUCGGGGCUGUUCCUUCCUCGGCGGCAGCCGAGACACAAACGGAGCCGUUCGUCACGGAGACCCCGCAGCAGCCGACAACGGGGCCCCAAGAACCCCAAGAACCACAGACGACUCUGACACCGCCACCAUCAUCAGCGCAGCCGCAAGUUACGCAACUUGUAGCUGCCCAAGCCAAGAAAACUAGGAGCUCCGCUAUCCCGGCGGGCCAAGCGCCUCGAAGUUCCUAGAGCUCACAGCCAGCCUGGAGCAACCAGGGAGUUCCCCUCAAGACGGCCAGCGGGCAUAGUUGGGGGUCGCUGGGCCAGUUCGUAAUGGACUGGAACAGUGCCGACAGUUAUGAGGUGAACUCCAGCACCCUCCAAACGGCGCGGCAAAGCCCUUUGGUGGGACCUGCGCCUGCGGCGACUCCGGAGUCCGUGGCGGCCCGGAUGUUCCAGGCAAGGGUCGCCUUAUUCGAGUCUAGCCGAGCUGUAGAGGUAUGAAAAACUCCUUUAAAGAUUUGUACUCCUAGCUCUAGUACCCAUACUCCUAGUCCCCGAGGUUUAGGGCGAGUAAGAAAUAGUCGGCCUGAAGCUUAUCUUAGAAAACUUCAGACACUCAUAACCCGAGAUUCAGGCCGGGUUUAGAAUAGUCGGCCUGAAGCUUAAAAAACUUCAAACAAUUAUUUCCCGGGAUUCGGGCCGGGUUUAGAAUAGUUGGCCUGAAGCUUAAAAAACUUGAAACACUUAUUCCCUGAGAUUCGGGCCAGGUUUUAGAAUAGUCGGCCCGAAGCUUAAAAAACUUGAAACACUUAUUCUCCGAGAUUCGGGCCGGGUUUAAGAAUAGUCGGCCCGAAGCUUAAAAAACUUCAAACACUUAUUCCCCGUGAUUCGGGCCGGGUUUAGAAUAGUUGGCCUGAAGCUUAAAAAACUUCAAACACUUAUUCCCCGAGAUUCGGGCCGGGUUUUGAAUAGUCGGCUUGAAGCUGAAAAACUUCAAGCACUUAUUCCCCGAGAUUCAGGCCGGUUUUAAGAAUAGUUGACCUGAAGCUGAAGAACUUCAAACACUUAUUCCCUGAGAUUCAGGCCGGGUUUAGAAUAGUCGGCCUGAAGUUUGAAAACUUCAAACACUUAUUCCCCGAGAGACUGUGAACCUUCCAUUGUAACAAACUUAUCUGCGGAUAACUAUUUUGCAGACCUACAUGAAUAAGCGCACCGCCACCUUCAAGAUUUUGCUAGGGAAGUACAAGAAGCUGGAGGAGGAGCACAAGGCUUUGGUAGCCGAUCGCCGGAGCCAGAGUAAUUAUAUUUUACCGUCAUAAAAACUUUGUCCGAGUAUUGAUGCACAACAGAAACUGAUACGUGCUCUUGUUUACAUCCUGGGACAAUGCUGAAAUAUCUGAGCUCUUGAAGCGCGUUGUUGAAGUUCAAGGUAUCAUCUUAUCCUUAUUCCGGGUUCCUUCCAUUUUAAACUCAUGCUUCUGUAACACAUAUCUGCUAAAUAGAUGAGAAGACCCAGCUCGAAGAGCAGCACUGGGAUGAAGUGGCCCGGUUGAAGCGCAGGUCGCAGCGCAGGCGGAGGCGCACAAGAUCGAGGUGGGUCAACUCACUUCAGCUCAUCCGGGCCUUUCGAGCUUUGUGGCCGGGAGAAGAAGCUCCGACCGGCAUCCCGGAACUGGCAACGCGCCUAUUGGAGGUGGAGGACCGUCUGGAUGAGGGGUGGGAGUCGGCUGCUCGCGUCGGCACCGACGAGGCCUUGUCGUUUGUACUUUCUUGGUACGACAGCAUCAACCUUGACGUGCUGCAGUCGAUGCGUGUCGGCUCCCCCUACCUCUCGGAUCCGGAGCUGAUCGCAAAGCGGCAGGAGCGAGCCUACUCCUUCAUCCAAUAUGCCGACGUGCAUAAGUUUGUGGAGGGCCCAGUAUCCGAAGCAGAGGCAGAGAUGGCCGAGGAAGAAGACGAGGAGGCAGUCAACGAAGAGAUUGUCGUCGAGUCAGCUUCCACUCCAACGGAUGCGCCGAGUUCCGGCGCCAACAAUCCUUCCGUCUCUUCUUAGGCGUGUUUAGAAAAAAACACUUUAAGAUUGUCAGAUCCCCGAGAUGCCGGGUGCAGAUGUAACCGAGUUAUAACACUUUUGUUGGUGAAGCAUCAUGCUUUUAAUUUAUUUAAGUUUUUAAUUACCGAGUUUCCAACCGAGUCACCGAGUCUAUUUUUUCUGUUGGUGAAAUUUUAUGACUUCGGUUCUUUUGUCUGCCGUGCCGGCGUUCGACGUAUGAAUCGCGAAGUCAUAGAACAACCCUUUCAAAAAAUUAAACUCGACAAACUCGCUUGGAAAUACCCGAAAACGGAAAGAAAUGCCGGGUUAAGUGAAACAACGCGCAUCUCGGCUCGCUUCUUUGUUUGUUUUCGUAAUCGUUUUUCAUGUGUUCAGUUAUCUCCUUCCCAAUCUCUAGCUUGCCAUGAAGCCGGGUUGCGGACAGCAGCGAAGUCAUAGAGGGAUUUUUAAUACCGACACAGUACUAAACCGACAUAAGAUUACACAACUAAGCCAUGCCGACAUACAAAAUAAUAAUUGCAAUAUAACACGUAAAUAGCAUGGAAGUCUCCGAGUUCCUUUUGAGAACCCGGCGGAUAAUUUCAUAGUCUCAAAACAUUGAACAUAAGGAGAAAACGAUACAAAUACUCAUCUUUCAAGUAUAGAACGGACGAAAUAAAGCUACAUUCCAUGGCCUCUUGGUCUGCUCGCCUGACCGGUCCAUCCUGUUUGCUUUGGGAUCCUGCGCAUCUAUAAGAUAGUAGGAAUCAUUGUGAAGCGCUUUGCUCACAAUGAAGGGUCCUUCCUAGGGAGGCGACAGUUUGUGCAUCCCGGCUGUGCGCUGCACAAGUCGGAGCACGAGGUCUCCUUCCCGGAAUACUCGCGGGUUUACCCUCUGGCUGUGAUAACGCCUUAGGUGUUGUUGAUAGAUGACCGAUCGAGAUAUCAUUUUACCUCAGCCUCCUUAUACAUGGUCACUCACGGAGAGUCAUGUUCAAUGUCGGCUGGUAAGACAGCUUCCGCCCCGUAUACGAGGAAAAAUGGCGUGUAGCCGGUAGAGCGAUUUGGAGUUGUCCUGAGACUCCAUAGCACAGCUAACCAGCAUCCUGGAGUGCGUUCCAGUGGUUCAAUCAACCGAGGUUUUAUGCCGGCUAGAACCAUGCCGUUUGCUCUCUCAACUUGUCCAUUGGACUGAGGAUGUGUCACGGAGUCAAUGUCUAGCCGGAUUUUCUUUUCCGCGCAGAAUCGUGCAAAAGGUCCUUCCGCGAAAUUCGUUUCGUUAUCCGUGAUGAUACCGUGCGGGUAACCCUAUCUCAAAAUAAUGUCCUUCAGGAAUGAUACCGCGAUUUUGCCGUCACAUUUUUGUAUCGGUUUCACCUCAAUCCAUUUGGUGAACUUGUCCACCAUGACCAAGAUAUGCGUCAUGCCUCCUCGCGCCCGCUUGAAAGGUCCCACCAUGUCCAAACACCAAACAACAAAUGGCCAAGUGAUUGGAAUAGUCUUGAGCUCGGAUGUCGGCGUAUGAGUCUUGCUGGCAUAUCGUUGGCAACCGUUCGAUUUCCUGACCAAUUCUGCUUCUUCCUGUAGUGCGCUUGGCCAGUAAAAACCAUGCCGGAAUUCCUUCCCUACCAGCGUUCUUGAAGAUGCAUGAUGGCCACACUCUCCCUGAUGAAUAUCCCGGAGUAUCUCUUGCCCUUCUUCCGGCUCAACGCAUCGCUGCAGGACGUUAGUGACACUCCUCUUGUAAAGCUCGCCAUUGAUGAUGGUGUAUGCCUUCGGCCUUCUCUGAAUUUGCCUUGCCGACAUUUUCUCUUUCGGGAGACUCCCAUCUUUGAGGUAAGACAUUAUCGGUUGUGCCCAAGUCGGCACGGGACGAGUGGCAAAGACCGGCUCAUCUGGUAUGUCUAUCUCCAUUGGCUCAACCGCCAUUGCUUCCGCCGAGUUAGGACGCUCAGUCCCCGGGUCACUAGAACCACUACCACUAUCAAUGUCCAUGGGGGUGACGUCAGCUUCUGGGCUCUCGGGGAUGAAGAUUGACUCCGAUUCUGGUGAUGGCUUGAUGGAUUGUUUACGUAGAUGCUCCAAGGCUACACCAAUCGGGAUGGCCUGUUGCGUUGAGCCAAGCUUUGACAGAGUGUCGGCUGCCUCGUUCUCCGCUCGCGGUAUAUGGUGGAAUUCGCACCCUUCAAAGUGACCACUGAUCUUCUGAACAUGGAACCGGUAUAGCGCCAUAUUGGCAUCCAAUGCAUCCCAAUUGCCGGAAACUUGCUGGACUACCAGAUCGGAAUCACCGAAGCAUUGAAUCCGGCGAACUCCAAUUUCUUUUGCCAUCUUCAGUCCGUGCACAAGCGCCUCAUACUCGGCAACAUUGUUGGAUGCUGCGAAGUGAAUUUGCAACACAUAUUUAAGUUGGUCGCGCUUUGGCGAGGUCAGAACUAUGCCGGCACCAAGCCCGCUUUUCAUCUUGGAGCCGUCAAAAUGCAUCUUUCAGUAGUUAGUUUCGGGGGCGGUGGUUCAUAUUCCAUCUCGGCCCAAUCCACCAAGAAAUCCGCCAGAGCCUGAGAUUUGACGGCAUCCUGUCUGUCGUACUGCAGCGUGUAGGGUGCUAGCUCAAUAGCCCAUUUCGCUAUCAGGCCACUUGCGUCUUUGUUGCGCAUAAUUUAUGAGAUGGGCGCCUCACAUAUAACCCGGAUCUGAUGUGCAUCAAAAUAAUGCUUCAGCUUCUUUGCCGCCAUAUAAACGCCGUAUACCAUCUUCUGGUAAUGGGGAUAAUUCUGCUUAGACAACGAUAGCACCUCGCUCAAGUAAUAUAUCGGCGUUUGCACCGACUUGCCGUCUUCAUCUCUUUCCACUACUAUGACGGCACUAACGACUCGGUUUGUUGCUGCUAUGUAUAACAACAUCGGCUCCUUCUCCAUCGACAAGGCUAAUAUCGGCGCCAUAGCAAUCAUCUUCUUCAGCUCUUGAAAAGCUACUUCUGCCUGUUGCGUCCACACAAAUUUGUCGGUUUUUUUCAUCAGCUGGUAUAAGGGCAUUGCUUUUUCACCCAGACGACUAAUGAAACUACUUAGUGAUGCUAGGCAUCCAGUGAAUUUUUGCACAUCUUUGAGGCAUUUUAGCAGUUUCAUUCUCUCUAUGGCGGCGAUUUUCACGUGGUUUGUUUCUAUACCUCGGCUUGAUACUAGGAACCCAAGCAACUUCCCUGCCAGCAAACCAAAUGUGCAUUUGGCCGGGUUCAGCUUCAUUCGGAAUCUCCUCAGAUUUGCGAAUGUUUCCCGGAUAUUAUCCAGGAGCGUGGCGCUUUCUUUGGUUUUUAUGACGACAUCGUCGACAUAUACCUGUACAUUUUUGCCGAGUUGAUCGUGCAAGCAUUUCUGCAUGCAUCUUUGAUAAGUAGCCUGAAAAACCACACUCCCAUGGGGAUUGGUCAUAGCCGGCAGACCAAUUUGUGCCGCCUGGGCCAUCGCGACAGCUUCUUGUAACUUUUCUUCUCACCAGCAAUGACCAGUGACUCGGCCAAAGCAGACCCUGCCGCUGCGCACUACAUUGAACGCUUGUAGUUGCCAGUAAUGUUUAUGAUACCAUUUGGCCCCGGCAUCUUCAUCUUCAGAUAGCCUAUGUGGGUAGUCGCCAUGAACUUGGCCAAUGCCGGUCUGAAGAGUAGCGCAUGGUACGGGCUGCUAAGGUCCACCACCUCGAACAGCAGGUUCUCGGUUCGACAGUUCUUCCGGGUGCCGAAUAAAACGUCAACUCGGAUCUUGCCUACUAGGGCACAAGAUACUCCCGGCACAAUACCAUGAAAGGUAGUCCGGCUAGGCUCAAGCAUGUUAUCAGUAAUGCCGAGCUUGAGCAUCGUGUCCCGGUACAUCAUGUUUAUACUGCUCCUAUUAUCAAUGAGAACCCGAGUGAACUUGACGUUAAUGUCGGGCCCGAUGAGUGUCGGGUCAACCACCAGAGCAUAUCCACCAGGAUUUGGCAUAACUUUGGGAUGAUCUGCCAUGUCGUUAAGCUCAUGUUCCGACCAGUACAUGAACUUCGGAACCGCUGGCAUCACAGCAUUGACUUCCAUCUCUCGCUUGCACUGACUCUGCUUGUCAGUCCGCUCCGUGAUGAAGAUCAUGUUACUCUGGUGAUGCUCCUUGUAUUCAUUUCUUCCGGCAUAUUCCGGUAUACAUCAGUCUUCCACCUGAUUGACAGCAUUGUUUGCGGGAGGGGGUCCCUGGAUCUGGGCAUUAGCGCCUGUGAGCGGUGGAGGAGGGGGCAGCCGACUUGCCUCACCCUUCUCGGCCCGCUGCAUCCAGCUGCAUUACCGGGUUGUGUGAUUCGCUGGUUUGCUAGGAUUAGUCGUGUGAAAACGACAAGGCUGAUCCAGCAUCACCUCGAACGUAUAUUUCUGCUUAUCUUGCCAGGGCUUCUUUUUAUCUCCCUUCUUGACCCACUGCUGGUUCCCAGUCUUCUGACGUUGGCUAGAGCCGGCAUCAGGUUGAUCUUGGAUAGCGGCGACAUGGGCUGGCCCAUACCGGUAAUCCGGCCUGUCAUCCCUUCUCUUGUUGCAGUGAUCUUGAUGAUCGUUCCUCCGGAAUGCCCCGGCAGGAUUGUAUGUCGGCUGCUCCCUUUGCGGUUCCGCCGGCAUCAGCAAUGGCUGAGUCGGAUCACCAAGCGCAUACAUGUCGGCGAUCUUGAUCAUCUCAGACAGGGUUGCCGGCAUUUCUCUUUGCAGCUUUUGCCACAACAUGUUGCCGUGUCGGCAUCCUUGGGCAAACCACGCUAUGGCGUGCGACUCCACUAUCCCUUCAAAGGAAUUACGGAGGUUGUUCCAUCUUGUCAGGUAAUUUCGGUCAGUCGCGUUGUCUCUUUGCUUGCACAUGGACAACUGCUGAGGGCGGUUUGGCCUCUUGUAAGUACUUGUGCCAUAUCUUUGCCGGCCCUACCAGCAUCUAGGGUACAUAACGUACUGCCCAUCGGCGAUUGCCACCUGCCACAUGCACCGCCGUGACAUAAUCUUCCAGCCAAUCCUCCGGCUUAGUACUGCCGUCAUAUGUUCUCGUACCCCUGGGCAGCUGGAAACCCUGGGCUGGUGUCUCCCUCAUGAUCCGGUGCGCGAAACAACGCGGUACCGGUGGACCUUUGAAAGGGCAUUUCGAUCCCUAAGUGUUUUGGUGUUAAUGACAACAUGACUCGUGGACUAACCAUGUGCUCGAGUGUUUCAGAUGUGAGAUCAAAUGGCACAAGACGGUUCGUUGCCCUCAAAAAUGAAAGAAGCGUAGAAGGAUUUACGACUUCUUAUUUAUAUUGAGUCGUAGGAAAUCCGUACUAUUAAGAGGGAGUCCACAUGUGAAAGGUUUGGGUGAAUCAACUUCACGUACACAAAUCUACUAUAUUUGCACCCACAUAAAGCCGUUUCCUUAAUGGGAGAGAGACCACCUCAUAAUCUUAGCCUAAGGGUUUAGUGCCUAAAUGUCUCCAGGGCGGCAGUGCAGCUCUAUCCAGGCCGGUAGUACCGGGGCCGGUAGUUCCUCCCUCGUACCGGAACCGCACCUAAACGCUACUGUCUUCUAGCGGUAGUGGGGCGGUACUACCGCGGUAGUACCUCUCUGCUACCUCUCUACCACCCGGCUGCACAAAUUACUCAUAACGGUCAGUUUUUGAGGCGCCCUUUAAAUAGGAGUCGUCCCCUACCUCGGGACUUCUUCUCCACCAAGCUAUUCCUCUCCCCCCUAAAUACAAGAGCUUCAAAUUUCUAGAUCUCCCUCCCUAGUGCUUCCCCACUCUUGAUUCUUUGAGGAUUGGAGGAGAAGAUCUUGAUCUAGGGUUUCACCAAAUUGAAAAGUUGAUUCCCCUUAUUUCCUUUGUGGAUUUUGUUACUCUUGGGAUUUUGGGAUCCCUAGCCAGAAGGUGUCUCUUCAAGGCCUCCAGUCUUGUGAGGAGGUGCUUGAGGAUUCGGGAAGGAGCCUCCAAUUAAGUUGUGGAGUUGUGCCCUUCUCCUUGUUUGUAAGGGUUCGGCGUUCGCCCUCAAGGAAGCCACUGGAACUCACCUCACCCUUUUGGUGUUGUGAGAGCUCAUCCCACCUUUGUGGUGCGAUGAGUUGGAGGAUAGAGUGAGCCUUUGUGGCGCCUCUACCUUUGUGCUAGAGCACUCCUCCAAACGGAGACGUACACCGACCUCAAUAGCUGGAACUCCGGUGAAAUCUUCGUCUCCCCGUGUGGUACCAUUCUUGCCCCUUUACUUACUCGCAAAGCUUAAUUGUUUAUCUUGUGCUUCGGCUAUCAAGCAAGUUUUAAUUGAUUAUCUAUUGCUUGUGCUCGUGCUUCGGCUAUUGCAUCAUACUAGGAGUGUUCAUCUUUUAGACGUUUUAGUGAACCCAUGUAUUGAUGCUUGUAUCCCAUAAAAGUGAAAAGAAAAAGUAAAAUUUGUUGUCGCCUAUUCACCCCCCCCCCCUCUAGUCGACCAUACCGAUCUUUCAACCUUGUUCUUCCAGAAGCUCCGACAGAUAGAUUCUAUCGAGCCGAUGUCGGGCGUCCAGCGGCGACACUUGUCUGUUCCCAACUCGGGCUCUGAGCGGACCGAGAUUAUCACGCUCUCGCCUGAGAUAACCUUCAUCACCCAUGGCCGAGUACCCGUCAUCAUAACGGUCUUGCCGACGAUUUUCACCUCAAUACAGGGGGUUGCGCCCGACACCCCUGCUGACCUGCAGCAGUAUUGGGUGCCAGACCCCGAGGUUGGUGUCCAUGACCAGCCGAGUGACGCUCUUGCUGAUCUCGACGAUUGUUGCCGAGACAUAGGCCACUCUAGCUCGACUCUCCUGACCACUUGUUUCUCGGCCGGAAUUGGGUCAUAAUACUCUAGGCGCUUAUCUCGGCCUGAGUUAACACUCUUGUCCCGUUUGCCACCAGGCGUGGACGCUUGUUUGUCAGCCUGGCCAUCGGCGCCUGCUGUCGAGUGAACGACUUGAGACGCGCCGGGCUUGCCGUGCAACCUCAUGUACGCCUCAUUCUGCUCAUUGGCUAUGUGGAGCAAUUCCUUCACGCGCAACUGCUGCAGCCGAAGUGCCUCUCCCGUGAGAUUCGGCAAGUCUUCGGCCCCAGCCUCGGUGGCCCUGAGAUUCUUGGCAGGGGUGUUAUAUUUCGGCCUCAGCGCCGAGGCAAAACUUGCCGACACUGCGGGCACCCCUCUGCCAUCUCUGGUUAUCUCGGCAUUCAAGUUCCUGCCACGGUUACGCACCUCCCCAACUCGGCUAGGGUUAGUCAACGCGGUAGAAUUGAGACCAUGGGCUUUGUUAUACUCACGGAGCGAAAUAUCAAGUUCUUGCCGAGCGCGAGCCACAUCGACGGCCUCCUUCAGCAGCUUUUGGCGCUCCAGUUCCAACUCCGCCUACAGCUAGGCCGGGUUAGCGUUUGACGCCACCAGCGUAGUCAGCCGUUUGAUGGAGGCUUGGAGCUGAGUCGGCUUUAGCGGCAGAGCCGAUGUGCCGACUUGAGCAGCGACGUUAUCCGGCUUCUCUAGGGGGAACUUCACCGUUCUGCCGGACUUGCUUGGGACCACGCCACUCUCUGCGGUGCCCUUGCCAGCAUCAACGUCAUGAGCUGUCACCAUGACCUCCACAUGGUCAGCAGGGCAAUCGACGUGCCGGCCGCGAACCGUGCAGACAGCGGAGAGAUCUUCGGCCACCACCACCUGCUCGGGAUACCUGCAGGGACUGUCAGUAGCGACAUAAACCUCAUGCAUGCCGAAGUUGAUGAGUGGCCCGCGCAAGGAAGCGGUGCGUUGUUGAAGUAGCCCGCAUCGUUGUCGAUGAAGCCUAGAGAGCCGAAUCUCUGGACCAAACCGGAGACCACACGCUCUCUGGUGGCGAGAAAGCUUCCCGUCUGGAUGAAAACUCCAGCCAGCGCCGCUGCUGGCCCCACGGUGGGCGCCAACUGUCGUGGUGGUGUCACGGCAGAUGCCAUGAGAUGGCUUAUCUUGGUGCCGAUGGACGAAUGAGGAUCCGGAGGAGGGAGGUCGUGAAGGGAAACACGCACGAAUACACAAGCACACACAGAUUUACCCAGGUUCGGAGCCCUCUUGCCGAGGUAAGACUUCUACUCCUGCUUUGUUGUAUUAGCCGAGAUAACAAGCUCUACAAUGACGCUCCUUGAGCUGUAUUCUUGAGAAAGAAGAAGAAGAAGGGAAAACCCCUAUAUGCCUAAAGAAGGGAAAACCCCUAGAUGUCUAAGUCUUAGAUCCCUCUCCUGGGAUGGGUGGUGCUCUAUUUAUGGACCAUCCAUGUCACACUGACAUGCGGGCCGGAGCCUAACGUUAUCUUCUUUGGGCCCCGCCGGGCAUGCGCUUUGGUUCCCUCCGGGUGCCACCGCAGGGGACAAGACAACUUUACUUUUCCUGGCGUCCCGCAACAAGUACUGCUGCCAGCUGCUGGCUUCCGUCACAGAUUCUCUUUCGGUACUUCUUUACGCAGUCGCCUGGCACCACGACGUAAGCAGCGACUGCUUUCCCGUGAUAAAGAGAACGCUGCUUUACUUUACGCCAUGAGAUAAGGAUAAAACUGUUGAGCCAUCUCGGUAGGGGCCGAGAUCAGUGUACUCGUCCUCAUCCUGCAAACACGUAAGACAAGAUAGAUGUGCCGGCAUACAACUGGUAUCCCGGCUUAGUAUUAGUUUGGUUUAAGGAUGCCGAUAUGCCUAAGCCGGCCUUGCCUUCGUUAUAUCGGCUAACGUGUGUCGUCAAGACCCUACCAUCCCCACGACAAGAUUCUUCCAGUAUAGCGAUGUUGUCUAAGCAUUGUCGGAGGAUCUUGCAGGCGUCGGACUCCCCAUGUGUUGUCGUUUUGCGGGCUAAAUACUACCCGUCGGGGACCUGCUAAACUGUGUUCUGAAAAAGAAAACUUCUUCACUUGGCAAAUCUUGUGGGAUGGUAUACAUGUUUUCAAGAAAGGCCAUUUCUGGCAGGUGGGAGAUGGAGAGAGCAUCAACAUCUGGGAGGAUCCCUCAAUCCUAACGACCCGACAAGAAGUAUCAUGACCAAGAUGAGGUUAUAUUGGGGUCACCUUAGUCUCGGAGCUUAUUGACAAAGAGAACCGUUGUUGAGACGAGGAGAUGGUACAUGAUUUAUUUUGGCCUAUCGACACCCAUCAGAUCCUUAAAAUCAUGUUGUCUCGUGGCAGCUUACUAAUACCAGCAUCUUCUCUUUUAAGACUACUUAUCAUCUGGGAUGUGAUCACCAACAUGAGAGAAAACUCUGGCGCACUUUCCUGUAGGGCACCUUCGGAAAC
rnacentral:lncRNA from 1 species